GCAGUCGAGCGGUAGAGAGGUGCUUGCACCUCUUGAGAGCGGCGGACGGCUGAGUAAAGCCUAGGAAUCUGCCUGGUAGUGGGGGAUAACGCUCGGAAACGGACGCUAAUACCGCAUACGUCCUACGGGAGAAAGCAGGGGACCUUCGGGCCUUGCGCUAUCAGAUGAGCCUAGGUCGGAUUAGCUAGUUGGUGAGGUAAUGGCUCACCAAGGCGACGAUCCGUAACUGGUCUGAGAGGAUGAUCAGUCACACUGGAACUGAGACACGGUCCAGACUCCUACGGGAGGCAGCAGUGGGGAAUAUUGGACAAUGGGCGAAAGCCUGAUCCAGCCAUGCCGCGUGUGUGAAGAAGGUCUUCGGAUUGUAAAGCACUUUAAGUUGGGAGGAAGGGCAUUAACCUAAUACGUUAGUGUUUUGACGUUACCGACAGAAUAAGCACCGGCUAACUCUGUGCCAGCAGCCGCGGUAAUACAGAGGGUGCAAGCGUUAAUCGGAAUUACUGGGCGUAAAGCGCGCGUAGGUGGUUCGUUAAGUUGGAUGUGAAAUCCCCGGGCUCAACCUGGGAACUGCAUUCAAAACUGUCGAGCUAGAGUAUGGUAGAGGGUGGUGGAAUUUCCUGUGUA
rnacentral:rRNA from 1 species